UUAGAGUCUCCUGAAGGAACGUUGAAGACGACGACGUUGAUAGGCCGGGUGUGUAAGCGCAGCGAUGCGUUGAGCUAACCGGUACUAAUGAACCGUGAGGCUUAACCUU
rnacentral:rRNA from 4 species